CAAAUACUGUAUGGUCUCACUCCUAUGUGGAAUCUUAAAAGUGUUCAUAGAGGGAGAUUUUUUUUAUUCUCCAUUCAUAGCCCAAGUUUAAGAUUUUUUCCUUGAGUGGACCCUGGACUUUGUCCCCUAUCCCCUGUGCCACUAAGAAGUACAUGAAAACCAAAGCUCAAAUUCACCCCAUCAUAGGGCAAAUGCUUUUAAAGUAAAAACUGCUUACCAUUGAGGGUUCCCAGUUUUCCUUAGGUGUAGGCCUCUGUGUAUUCCUCACCAAGUAGCCAAUACACUGAUGGAUUUGCAAAGAUAUCUGUCAUUUUCUAGCAUUUUUAGUUGCUUACUGAGAGAGGUUCCAGGUUCAUCAUAGCAGGAAACAGUAGUCAGGACUGAAUGUUAUUAAAUGUGUACACAUACACACACACACACACACACACACACACACACACACACAGAUAUAAUUGCACUGCUAAUAAAAUUUUCUGAAUUUAGUUCCAAAUUUAGUAUCACUUGUAUACAUGAUUAAAAUGAGUAGAUAAUAAAUUUACUUUCCAAGAUCCAUAAUUGCAGCUCUUUGUCCCCACCAGUAACUACAAGCAGUUUUUCAUUAAAGAAAAGAAAAUGAUUGAAUAAUCCAAAUUAGCCUGGGCAAGAAAACUAACAGCUGCUUAAAAUGAAAUGUUUGAGUUAUGAGCCAUGUACCACUUUGGUUUAUCUGCAGCCAAAAGGUUUAGAAUCCUUAUUCAAUUAACCAUGUUGCUUGGGAGGGCCUGGUUGCCCUGAAUAAGAGCUGCCUGGUGAUGAGUAAGAGGUAUUCGUGACACACAAGUUCAGACCUUGCAACUCUGUUUUUGUUGUUUGAACUUUCUUCUCUGUUGUAGCUAGGGAUCCGGCGUGGAAUUUAAACACUUGUGUGGUAACUCCAUUCCUUCAGCCAUUGUGUUGUUAAGCUCUAGCUAACGAACUUUUAACACUGGCUUGAUGUAAAGCAAGACUGAGAAAAUAGCCCCCAUCAACAUUUCUGGUUUUAUAAUUAAAAACUAUAUGAUUUCUGUGUCUUUAAGAGGUAAGAUGCUCAUGCCUGUGGAGUCCAGCUGUUCCCCCAAAAGUAACCUUCGUAAUAUGUGUGAACAAUAAAUAAACCAAGGUGCAUCUAAGAAAGCUGAAAUUAAGAAAUGACUUACAUUUCAAAAAUCAUACCUCUUGUAACAGAAACUCCAACAUGCAUACCUGUAUUAAAACUUAGGAACUUUGCCUAAAAUACAGGAAACAAACUUAUGUAACAUUUGGAAAGGUGAGUAUUGCUAAACAUACUGGUCAAGUAUACUUUGUUUCAUGUGGCCCUUUUCUUCCAGGCCAACAGUUUUUGUUGCCUAGGGAGAUCCUCCUGAUAAUGUCACAAAGAAUGUUUCUCAGACCCAUAUAGAUUGUGUACACGUCGGCUUGCUAAAGACAAGUUUUGAUUUUAAAUCUCUAAGCUUCAGUUUGUUUCUAAGCAUACUGUUUGAAACAAAAAACAGGUGAAUAGACGAGAGAAGACUCAAUUUCUUCUCCCACUCAUCAACCACUUCUGAAGAUGAUUCUGGCUGAGAAAAUUUAAAUACAGUUUGAAUAAUGAUAUAUAAUUUGACAUAAAAUGUCUCAGAAUUUGAAGAAUUACUUUGAAGAAUUACUAUCCACUUGAACAUACACACUGACUUCUGAUGUUUUAUGUCACAAUCUUUUCAUGUUACAAAAUUAGAUUUGCUUUUUGCAUCUUAUUUUCUUCAACUGCAGUCAUAUUAUAAAGCACAGUUGUAUACUUUCAUUUAGGUGACAUGAAGACAUCUUUUCAUUUAAGUUAAUACCUAAUCUCGUUUGUCAAAUAGAAGCAAAGAAACACCUUUGAAAUCAGCAGUUUCAAUUAAAACUUCAGUCAUAUCAAAAUAAUCAUUUUAUUUCUGUGUUUAUAAAAAAUGCAACAGCUGUUCAGGAAACACAGCUAUAUCGCAGACUGAAAAUUUAAAUGUUGCAGAUAUUAUUGUCCUUCAGUUGCGGUAAGACAAACAGUGGUUUUAUUAUUUCAAGAAUCAAAGAAUGAACCGUAUGUGUACUGUUUUGUUUGGGUUGUUUGUUUUUUAGAUUUUUUAGGAAAGUUUUCUGGUUCCAUAUUAGAUUAAAAAAAAAAAAAACAAUUGACCAAAUCAUACCUGGAAACUCGGGCACAUUAUUUUGUUUUCAUAUGGAUGGCAAGAAAAGUAAUAGAAUCGACUUUCUUUCAUACUAAUACCUUUGACCUGUGCUCCAAGCCUACUCUCCAUUUCAGUUCCUACCCUAUAUUUUCAUUAUUGAAUUCAUUUACCAUUUUUAAGCCUCUACUCAGUCAAAUCCACCUUCGUGUGUUUAAAUCCAAUUCAUCCUUCAAGAAUACUUAUACGCCACCCCCGACAUGAAGCUUUCCCUAAUUCCCCACCCUAACCUCACCACCAAGCCACAGUUAAUCUCUCUUCUAUAUGCCUCAUAGCUCCGUCUUCAUCUGUAUUAGGGCAGUUAUUAGUAUUCCUGUAUAGUAUUCCUGUACUAUCUCCCAUUACAAUGCAGCUUCUACAGGUCAGAGAUUGUCCAUAUUUCUUUGCACAGGUAAAAUACUUGGUAAAUAGUCAUUCUUGUUAAUGACAAAAACUAAAUCUUCCAACUGUAUUGUUUUAUAAACAUUUGUGUGAUGUGUCUUUUAAUAAAAGAUGAAGAUUUGAGUGUCAUUUCCCAAAAUAGUGGUGUUAAAAUACAUUAGCAUGUCAAAUUAUUUAGCACUUGGCAUAUUAUCAGGUGAAACGUGCUCAUCUGAAGACUUUAACUUUUAACCAUAAUAAGUUUAAAGUGAAGAGUUUCGGUCUUUUGUGUUGUUUGUUUGAUUUUGAUUAGGUUUGGUUUUUUAAGCAGAAUUUCUUGUGUAACUGUCAAAUGUUGGUCCCUAUAAAGUUGAAAUCUUACUCUAUGAUAAAGUGAAGGCAUGGUUCCAUUGUCUUGGAAAGUUUAAACAAAAUUUCCAGACCCCAAAAUAGGCCAUUUAACUCUUUAUUGAACAAUGCUAAUAACUAAAUUGCUUUCUGGAAUCAAGUGUAUCAAAAAUCAAAGAGAGAGAAUGCAAGCAGUGUAUAAACCAAUGUGUGUUUGGAUGUCUGCUGAUAUUGCUGUGAUGUACUUUAAAUCAUGAUUUCAAAUUCAUUGAUUCUGCAUUUCCAAAAAGUAAAAUUUCCUAAAUUCUGAUUAUUUUGAUAAAUUGUCUUGUUAUUUUACUUUCUAGUUACGUAUUAUUCUUUUAGUUCUAAGCCAUAUUUUAAGAUAUGUGAGAACAAAUAAAUUGUGCAUGAACAUUUCCCAUCAAGUGGCAGCUUCAAAAAUUAAUAUUUAGCAACUAAUUUUCUGUCUCUUCUCCACCAGUUUUCAUUAUGUAACUUGUUUAAUGAAGAUCCUAAAGCUUAAAAAAUACAUAUCAUUUUCCAAUAAAUAGGUCAGUUAUAUCAAAGCCUUUUUGAAACACUCAAGCGUAGAAUAUUCACUACAUUUACUUGUAUGACUAUGAAUGACAUUAACACACUGAAAAUCUUUAAGUUCCUUAAAGAAGUUUUUUCUCAUAAAUUCACCCUGGCUGUCUAACCAAAUUACAUUUUCAAGAAAGUAUGUCCUCUGAAAUUGCUUAUAGUAUGUACCUCACACACAAAGUUACCUAUCUUAGUUACUCUGGUUGCCAGCAGAGUGAUUCACUUUCAAUAACAGUAUUUUGUUUGUAAUUUUCUAGGAACUACAGCCCUUUACUCAUCAAGCAACAGUAAACCAAAACUGCCAACAUUGUUUACCAUGUUGAAAAAUUAAAAUUAUCUUCAUGAAUAGUGCUCAAAUGGUGGCACAUGGCUAAAUGAAUCAUCUUUGUCUUAAAGCAAAAAGGUGACAAAGCCUAUGAGGACUCUGGAUUACUUGGAAUAAAGAAAGACAAGGAAGAGAAAGCUAAAUAACAGACUGAAAAGAGGAGAAAAACUAACCUAAAAUUCCACCGAUGGAUUGCAUCAUACCCUGCACUGAAUAGGAGGCUGCCUGCCACUGGAGGAGAUGUCUGAGGCCUGCCUAAGACCAAGAUGGGAGCUGGAGAGCUGAGUAACCCUCCCUGACCCACUGUGAGCCUUGCAUCUAAUAGCAGGCUUAAGACUGGCUACUACACCACUCUUUCUGAUGCUGAAGAUAAAAAGGACUAUGUUUCACUCUGUUUUAAAGUUAAUUUGUGCUUAUUAAGAUCUCAGGUUAUUCCACAAACAACUGGUAUUUGUAUCAACUGGUAACAAUUGUAAGUGACCGUAAGACUUUGAAAUACUCUGAAACAUUGCAGACCUCACUUUAUGUAAGAAGGCUCUUUGAACAUUUUAAAAGUAGCACUUUUUAUACAGAGACUUAAAUAAAACCCAGUGCUAUCA